GACGAACGCUGGCGGCGUGCUUAACACAUGCGAGUCGAACGGAAAGGCCCUGUCUUUGUGGGGUGCUCGAGUGGCGAACGGGUGAGUAACACGAGAGUAACCUGCCCUGGACUUUGGGAUAACUUCAGGAAACUGGGGCUAAUAUCGGAUAGGAGCUCCUGCUGCAUGGUUGGGGUUGGACAGUUUCGGCGGUUGGGGAUGGACUCGCGGCUUAUCAGCUUGUUGGUGGGGUAGGGGCUUACCAAGGCUUUGACGGGUAGCCGGCCUGAGUGGGUGAGCGGCCACAUUGGGACUGAGAUAGGGCGCAGACGCGUACGGGAGGCAGCAGUGGGGACAAUUCCACAAUAGGCGGGAGCCUGAAGCGACAACGCCGCGUGCGUGAUGACGGCCUUCGGGUUGUAAACCGCUUUCGCCUGUGACGAAGCGUGAGUGACGGUAAUGGGUAAAGAAGCACCGGCUAACUACGUG
rnacentral:rRNA from 1 species